UUUCAAUUCAAUGACACUUUGCUUAAAUUUUUAAUAAAUUUUGAUUAUUAUAACAAUGUAAUUAUAUUUAGAGUAUAUAAUGUCUAAUAUGAAAAAUAAACUAGUUUUAAAGAAAAAAAAUCAAAGGCUAGAAAAUUGUCAGACGAUGCUUGCAUAGCUAAAUUAGGUUAAUUGUCUUUUGCUUUCAUUUAUUUAUUUACUUAUUUUUUUACACUUACUAAUUAUAUUUUGAUUUUUUAUUAUUCAAUUUUUAAAUUGUUAUUUACUUUCAUCACUCUAGAUCGAUUAGAAAAAAUAGUUGGUUAGUAGAACUUUAUUGUGUUAUAUUUUUAUAGGUUUUUAUAGUAUUUUCGUGUCAUGUUUCCUAACAUUUUUGCAUAUGUUAUGGAAAUGUUGACUUUAUUUUAUAUAUAUAUAUAUUUUUUUAAUUUUAGAAGAUCUGUAAAUUAUAUUAAUACUAAGCAAAUUGAUAAUUUAAAUGAUGUUAUGCGUGAAAGAAUUGUUGGGAGGUAUCUCUGCCACGAAUGGUAUGAUACAGAUGGCAGAGUUGAAAAACGUAAAAAGACAACGAAAGGCAUCUUUUAAACAAUUUCUUACUGGGCUCCAGAUGAAACUUAUACAGAAGCUGUUGACCAUAGCUUGAAAAAAUUCCAGCUGGUUGCUGAUGUUGUAUCAGGUCGGAGGGGAUUUGAUAUCUCCCUCAGCAAAUAUGAAGACUGAUGCAUCUUGUAAUACUGCUACUCAAAUAAGGUCAGAGGGGGAGGGAUAUGCCCUUUUCUCGUGUCUUUGUGUACACCACUACUUUUUGUUUUAAAUAUGUAAAAAAAAACUAUUUAUUUUAUAAACUUGAUCUAUUAAAUGUAUAUUUUGAAAUAAAGAUAAAAAUAAUUAUAAGAAUGAUUGUUUUUUUAAAUUAGGAUGUGUUAAAUUUUAACACCCAACGUCCACCCCAUAUUUUUAAUGAACCUCUGAUAUUUGGCAGUGAAGUGUAAUGAAAUUGUAACAACUUUUCCUGAAGAAACACUUUUUUAUUAAUAAAAAUCUCUUUUUAUUGACCGCAAAGAUGGCGUUUCUGUGCACCGGCCGCCCUCCACGGUAUGCCCAAUUGCUCAAGGUUGUUAUAAUUUUGUAGGUUAUUCUUGCAUCUAUUUUUUGAUACCAAUAUAUAAGGAUUUUAAUGAGAAUUGACUAAGUUAUGAAAGUUUUAGUAAAAAAAAAAAUUUUUUUGCUUCAGUUAUAUCAAGAAAUCCAUAUAACGGUAAUUCGUCACUUAAUCAAGUAUAACUUUUUAUAGAAUUGUCCAAUUUUUAUAAUUUUUUCACUUUUGAAAAAAAGGCCUUUCUAAUGAUCUAUAACAAUCUACUAUUUAAUUAAUUUAAAAUUACGCGAAAAAAAAAAAAUACGCGACAUUUUCAUGUCGA